CUCUUGUCUGUUGUCAUCCGUUGUUGUUUCUAUGGGCGGCGGGAUGCUUAAAAACAACAGUCCGUAUGAUAAAUAAUCAUCAAACACUUUCCCCCCCCAACUUUAGACACUUUGAAGUUUGACGUCUCACAUAAACGAUAACUUGUUGUCGUGUUUUUCUUGUCAUGAGGCUACAAAAGUCAGCUUUGAGGAACAGUCUUCUUUCGUGACAUGACAAGUCGGUAGGACGCGUUGGCUUGAUCUUUGUCGAGAUGCCACCCAAGAAACCAAAGGACGCAACGGCAAACAUCUCCAGUUCCAUCGAGUCUGAGGACAUCAGUCUGGAGACAACAGUCCCCACAGAGGACAUAUCGUCUUCGGAUGAGAAAGAUGGCGCAGGGAAAGUCACAAAACAGCUCCUGGAAAGAAAAGAGCUGCUUCAUAACCUUCAAAAGCUGAAGAUAGAGCUGUCACAGAAAAAUCUGCUCAUAGACAACCUCAAAGUGGACCAUCUUACCAAGAUAGAAGAGCUGGAGGAAAGGCUGAACGAUGCUCUCCAUCAAAAACAGGUGCUCGCUCUGCGUCUGGACAGCCAGCUCAAACUACAGCAGGAUGAAAACAGGAAGCAGCAAGGCCUGAGGAAGCAGGAGAUGGACACCAUCAUGCUCAGACAGAAGCAGCUGGAGGAGACGAACCGUCAGCUGUGUGAUCGAGCAGGUGAUCUCCGCAGGAGCCUGAGGGACCUGGAGCUGUCUGAGGAGAAGUACAUUGAGCUGAAGGAACUGCCUGAGGACAAACUCACCAUCCCUGAAUAUGUGGCGAUUCGUUUCUAUGAGGUUGUGAACCCUCUGAGGGCUCUUACGACUGAGCUGCAGGUGAAAAAGGCUGACCUGACCGAGGAUCUGGACAGUCACCGCAACCAAAUCAGGUCACUAAUGGAGAGUUAUGAGGAAGAGAGGAGAGCGCGCUCCGAGCUGGAGAUCCGCUGUCAGAGACUCACACUGGAACUUGCUGACACCAAGCAGCUUAUUCAGGAAGGAGAUUACAAACGAGAGAACUAUGACAAAAUCAAACGAGAGAGAGAUGGGUAUGAAACGGAGGUAAGAGAGUUAAGGAAGAAGUUAGAAAUGCUGGACCUCACACAUACUGCUUUGACCAAAGAGAGGAAUGAGCUGAAUAAAGAGGUAUCCACUCUGCAGCAGUCUGUAACAUUGAUGCAGAAGGACAAGGAAUAUCUAAAUAAGCAGAACAUGGAGCUUAAUGUGCGCUGUGCUCAUCAAGAAGACCGUCUGGACAGACUGCAGACCCAGCUUGAGGACACAAAGAAGGCCAGGGAAGAUGCCUAUGAAAAAUAUGUUGUUUCUAGAGAUCAUUAUAAGACAGAGUAUGAAAACAAACUGCGUGAUGAACUGGAGCGCAUACGAAUGAAGACCAGUCAUGAGAUCGAGAGCCUGCAGAGGGCAUCUAAAGAGAUGUAUGAGAGAGAGAACAGAAACCUUCGUGAAACCCGAGAUAAUGCUGUCAUUGAGAAAGACAGAGCAUUGAAUGCAGAAAGAGAUGCCCAAGCCAAAUACGAUCAACUUUUGGACCAGUUCAGGCAGCUGCAGCUGGGUUCAGACAGCAGGGUGGCAGAACUGCUUAACCAGGUGAAGCUGAAAAAGUUUGAGUUGGAGCGUUCCCAGAUGGUCCAGGAGGAAACAGCCAGGAACCUCAGCCUUUGUCAAAUAGAGUGUGAAAAACACCAGAAAAAACUAGAGGUUCUAACAAAAGAGUUUUACGGGCUUCAGACAUCAGCAGACAAACGCAUCACCGAACUGCAAGCCCAGAAUUCUGAACAUCAAGCACGACUGGAGACAUACGAGCGAUUGGAAAAGGAGCUGGACGAUGUUACCAUGCAGGCUGCAGAGAUUGAAAAUGAAGAUGAGGCAGAGAGGGUGCUGUUUUCAUAUGGUUAUGGUGCAAACAUUCCAACAACUGCCAAGAGAAGACUGAAGCAAAGUGUUCACUUGGCACGCAGGGUUCUGCAGCUGGAGAAACAGAACACGCUGCUUAGGAGAGACCUGGAAAGACAGACGGCGCACAGCAGCCAGAUCUCUGAAGAGUUGGAGGCAGCCAACCAGCUUCUUCAGCAGGCCCAGCAGCCACAUAGCUACCUGAUUGAGACCGUUCGACAGAGAGACACUCAGAUCCACACGCUGAAAGACCAUCUCACGCGGUUAGAAGAGGAAGUGAGGUUUUUCUUGGCUUUGUCACAAAUCAAUGACAGGUGUAUUUUCCUACCUCUAUAUGCAAAGCAGGCAUUCUUCUGUUGCACUACGGAAAGAGAAGACUGCACUACUGCAGGUGAAAAACAACAUGGCUGCAGAUUUGGAGAGACUCCUGAACCACAGAGAGGAACUUUCUGUCAUGAAGCAAGUCCUUAUUAGCAUGCGCUCACAGCAGCACGCUGGACCUCUAUCUCUCGAGACCGAUGGCACGGGGACAGCAGUUCACCGACCCAAAGCUUUAAAAAGCACAGAUGAUGAGCAAUACAACUAUGGUCCCAGACCCACAGUGUUUACCAAUAAAGAAGUUCCAGAAUGGUAUAGAAAACUCAAACGGAAAACCAAGUAGGGACUUGUUCAACUUGUUUAAGAGUUUUAGGAUGCUCCAUGUCAUGCAAUCACGGAUGAAAGUCUGUUUAAGUUGUAGAAGCUCUAUUACAUAACUAGUUACACAGGUUUGUGUAGCCAUGAACAAUGUGAAGUUAUUAACAUUGAAACAUUAAACUAUGAUUUUUUUU